GGGUGCGAGCACAUAGCAGUCUGCCCAAAACCUUCUCUUUUGGCAAACAGCUGGAAAAAGGACCGGGGAGGAAACAGGGACCGCCUUAGCCGGCAAGGGAAGGCACGCCGCACGCAGACCCACAGUGAGCCUGCACGGCUUUCUCGGCUUUCGGCUUGUCCCUGCUGUGUCAGGCCUCUUCAUUCAGCUUAACACUGAGAGCUUCAGGGGUUCUCUUGUGUUGGCAGCAGCUGCUGAUCCCAAGUGAAACAGCUGCCACAUUCUCCUUCUUGAGGAUGCAUCCCAAAAUGGGCUGUUUCUUCUGAGAGGACAACAUAGCCUCCAAUUUGGCA